UGGAGGAAUACCGGUGGCGAAGGCGGCCCCCUGGACAAAGACUGACGCUCAGGUGCGAAAGCGUGGGGAGCAAACAGGAUUAGAUACCUGGUAGUCACGCCGUAAACGAUGUCGAUUUGGAGGUUGUGCCCUUGAGGCGUGGCUUCCGGAGCUAACGCGUUAAAUCGACCGCCUGGGGAGUACGGCCGCAAGGUUAAAACUCAAAUGAAUUGACGGGGGCCCGCACAAGCGGUGGAGCAUGUGGUUUAAUUCGAUGCAACGCGAAGAACCUUACCUGGUCUUGACAUCCACAGAACUUUCCAGAGAUGGAUUGGUGCCUUCGGGAACUGUGAGACAGGUGCUGCAUGGCUGUCGUCAGCUCGUGUUGUGAAAUGUUGGGUUAAGUCCCGCAACGAGCGCAACCCUUAUCCUUUGUUGCCAGCGGUUAGGCCGGGAACUCAAAGGAGACUGCCAGUGAUAAACUGGAGGAAGGUGGGGAUGACGUCAAGUCAUCAUGGCCCUUACGACCAGGGCUACACACGUGCUACAAUGGCGCAUACAAAGAGAAGCGACCUCGCGAGAGCAAGCGGACCUCAUAAAGUGCGUCGUAGUCCGGAUUGGAGUCUGCAACUCGACUCCAUGAAGUCGGAAUCGCUAGUAAUCGUAGAUCAGAAUGCUACGGUGAAUACGUUCCCGGGCCUUGUACACACCGCCCGUCACACCAUGGGAGUGGGUUGCAAAAGAAGUAGGUAGCUUAACCUUCGGGAGGGCGCUUACCACUUUGUGA
rnacentral:rRNA from 1 species